ensembl:ncRNA C23H4.11 ncRNA
AGAUAGAUAGAGAGAAAGAAAGCCGUCCUCAUCAUCUUCCUCUUUGUUUCCGGAGCCCUCUUACAACAAGUGGAGAAAGGAAACGGGUGCCUCUUCAAGAUUUUCAAGUUAAGGGUUUGUUUG